UCAGCGCGGUCAUCAUGGGGAGCAAGGGCUUCGGCGCCUCCAGGCGGACCAGCAAGGGGAGGCUUGGAAGCGUCAGCGAUUACUGCGUGCACCACUGUGUGUGCCCCGUGGUGGUGGUGCGUUUCCCCGACGAUGGUGUGGCGGAGGGCGGAGAGGCCGGUGGCGCAUCGGAGUUGGCGGUGGGCGAGGAAGUGCUGCACCCUGUGCCAGAGGAGGAUGCCGAGUACCAUGACGCCACUGAAGAGCACAAGG
rnacentral:misc_RNA from 1 species